UGAAAAAUUAGCGGAUGACUUGUGGCUGGGGGUGAAAGGCCAAUCAAACCGGGAGAUAGCUGGUUCUCCCCGAAAGCUAUUUAGGUAGCGCCUCGUGAAUUCAUCUCCGGGGGUAGAGCACUGUUUCGGCAAGGGGGUCAUCCCGACUUACCAACCCGAUGCAAACUGCGAAUACCGGAGAAUGUUAUCACGGGAGACACACGGCGGGUGCUAACGUCCGUCGUGAAGAGGGAAACAACCCAGACCGCCAGCUAAGGUCCCAAAGUCAUGGUUAAGUGGGAAACGAUGUGGGAAGGCCCAGACAGCCAGGAUGUUGGCUUAGAAGCAGCCAUCAUUUAAAGAAAGCGUAAUAGCUCACUGGUCGAGUCGGCCUGCGCGGAAGAUGUAACGGGGCUAAACCAUGCACCGAAGCUGCGGCAGCGACGCUUAUGCGUUGUUGGGUAGGGGAGCGUUCUGUAAGCCUGCGAAGGUGUGCUGUGAGGCAUGCUGGAGGUAUCAGAAGUGCGAAUGCUGACAUAAGUAACGAUAAAGCGGGUGAAAAGCCCGCUCGCCGGAAGACCAAGGGUUCCUGUCCAACGUUAAUCGGGGCAGGGUGAGUCGACCCCUAAGGCGAGGCCGAAAGGCGUAGUCGAUGGGAAACAGGUUAAUAUUCCUGUACUUGGUGUUACUGCGAAGGGGGGACGGAGAAGGCUAUGUUGGCCGGGCGACGGUUGUCCCGGUUUAAGCGUGUAGGCUGGUUUUCCAGGCAAAUCCGGAAAAUCAAGGCUGAGGCGUGAUGACGAGGCACUACGGUGCUGAAGCAACAAAUGCCCUGCUUCCAGGAAAAGCCUCUAAGCAUCAGGUAACAUCAAAUCGUACCCCAAACCGACACAGGUGGUCAGGUAGAGAAUACCAAGGCGCUUGAGAGAACUCGGGUGAAGGAACUAGGCAAAAUGGUGCCGUAACUUCGGGAGAAGGCACGCUGAUAUGUAGGUGAGGUCCCUCGCGGAUGGAGCUGAAAUCAGUCGAAGAUACCAGCUGGCUGCAACUGUUUAUUAAAAACACAGCACUGUGCAAACACGAAAGUGGACGUAUACGGUGUGACGCCUGCCCGGUGCCGGAAGGUUAAUUGAUGGGGUUAGCGCAAGCGAAGCUCUUGAUCGAAGCCCCGGUAAACGGCGGCCGUAACUAUAACGGUCCUAAGGUAGCGAAAUUCCUUGUCGGGUAAGUUCCGACCUGCACGAAUGGCGUAAUGAUGGCCAGGCUGUCUCCACCCGAGACUCAGUGAAAUUGAACUCGCUGUGAAGAUGCAGUGUACCCGCGGCAAGACGGAAAGACCCCGUGAACCUUUACUAUAGCUUGACACUGAACAUUGAGCCUUGAUGUGUAGGAUAGGUGGGAGGCUUUGAAGUGUGGACGCCAGUCUGCAUGGAGCCGACCUUGAAAUACCACCCUUUAAUGUUUGAUGUUCUAACGUUGACCCGUAAUCCGGGUUGCGGACAGUGUCUGGUGGGUAGUUUGACUGGGGCGGUCUCCUCCUAAAGAGUAACGGAGGAGCACGAAGGUUGGCUAAUCCUGGUCGGACAUCAGGAGGUUAGUGCAAUGGCAUAAGCCAGCUUGACUGCGAGCGUGACGGCGCGAGCAGGUGCGAAAGCAGGUCAUAGUGAUCCGGUGGUUCUGAAUGGAAGGGCCAUCGCUCAACGGAUAAAAGGUACUCCGGGGAUAACAGGCUGAUACCGCCCAAGAGUUCAUAUCGACGGCGGUGUUUGGCACCUCGAUGUCGGCUCAUCACAUCCUGGGGCUGAAGUAGGUCCCAAGGGUAUGGCUGUUCGCCAUUUAAAGUGGUACGCGAGCUGGGUUUAGAACGUCGUGAGACAGUUCGGUCCCUAUCUGCCGUGGGCGCUGGAGAACUGAGGGGGGCUGCUCCUAGUACGAGAGGACCGGAGUGGACGCAUCACUGGUGUUCGGGUUGUCAUGCCAAUGGCACUGCCCGGUAGCUAAAUGCGGAAGAGAUAAGUGCUGAAAGCAUCUAAGCACGAAACUUGCCCCGAGAUGAGUUCUCCCUGACUCCUUGA
rnacentral:rRNA from 1 species